AUUUUCCGCAAUGGGCGCAAGCCUGACGGAGCAACGCCGCGUGGAGGAUGACGGCUCUCGGGUUGUAAACUCCUUUUGUGGGGGAUGACAUCGACAGUACCCCACGAACAAGCCCCGGCUAACUACGUGCCAGCAGCCGCGGUAAUACGUAGGGGGCCAGCGUUGUCCGGACUUACUGGGCGUAAGGCGCGCGCAGGUGGACGAGUAUGUGCCGUGUGAAAGCGCCGUCCUUACGAUGGUGAGGUCAUGGUAGACAGCUUGUCUUGAGGCUCAGAGAGGUUGAUGGAAUUCCGGGUGGAGCGGUGAAAUGCGUAGAUAUCCGGAGGAACACCAGGGGCGAAAGCGGUCAACUGGCUGAGUUCUGACACUGAGACGCGACGGCGUGGGGAGCAAAC
rnacentral:rRNA from 1 species